GGUACCGUACGAAUAACGGAACCGGCUAACUCCGUGCCAGCAGCCGCGGUAAUACGGAGGGUCCGAGCGUUAUCCGGAAUCAUUGGGUUUAAAGGGUCCGUAGGCGGGCAAUUAAGUCAGUGGUGAAAGUCUGCAGCUCAACUGUAGAAUUGCCAUUGAUACUGGUUGUCUUGAAUCGUUGUGAAGUGGCUAGAAUAUGUGGUGUAGCGGUGAAAAUGCUUAGAUAUCACAUAGAAUACCGAUUGCGAAGGCAGGUCACUAACAACGUAUUGACGCUGGUGGACGAAAGCGUGGGGAGCGAACAGGAUUAGAUACCCCUGGUAG
rnacentral:rRNA from 1 species